rnacentral:tRNA from 1 species
AAUUGUUUCAUCUAAGAAAGAUAUUCGUCUUGAACACGAAACAUAGAGGUUAAAAUCCCCUAACAAUUU